rnacentral:rRNA from 1 species
UACGUAGGGUGCGAGCGUUGUCCGGAAUUACUGGGCAUAAAGGGUGCGUAGGCGGUUUGUUAAGUCACUGGUGAAAGUUUUCGGCCCAACCGGAAAAUUGCCUGUGAUACUGGCGAACUUGAGUGCGUGAGGGGUGGGGGGAACGAGCAGUGUAGCGGUGAAAUGCGUAGAUAUUGCUCGGAAGGCCGGAGCCGAAGGGGUCCCACUGGUACGUAACUGACGCUGAGGCACGAAAGCGUGGGGAGCAAUCCGG